rnacentral:rRNA from 1 species
UACAGAGGUCCCGAGCGUUGUUCGGAUUCACUGGGCGUAAAGGGUGCGCAGGCGGUCGUGUGUGUCAGGUGUGAAAUCCCGGAGCUUAACUCCGGAACUGCGCCUGAAACUACACGACUAGAGCAUUGGAGAGGGAAGUGGAAUUCAUGGUGUAGCAGUGAAAUGCGUAGAUAUCAUGAGGAACACCAGAGGCGAAGGCGACUUCCUGGACAAUUGCUGACGCUCAGGCACGAAAGCAUGGGGAGCAAAAGGG